rnacentral:lncRNA from 1 species
ACUGGGCGCCCAGAGUAACCAACACCGAGACGAAUAGCGAGGGCUCGGGGAGAAAAAACGGAGGAUGGCAAACGGCAAAGCCAAGGGCACGAGAAACCUGUUUAUGCACCCUCCUGCAAUCCCACCACCUGCCCAGGCCAAGUGAGCCCCUCUCCGCUACUGGUGUUUCAUAAUGCUGGGAGCUACUUUGAUUUCAUGCAUUGCCCUUCAGCUGCCAUGUUAUGAGGACACUUGGAGAAAGCUACAGGAGAGGAACUGAGGUCUCCUGCCAUCAGCCACUUGAGUGAGCAUGGGAGUGGAUUCUCCAAACUCCAGUUAAGACUUGAGAUGUCCACAGUGGCAGCCACUAGCUUGACUGCAACUUACGAGAGACCCUGAGCCAGAGGCACUCAGUUAAGUCAUACACAGUUUCCUGACCCGUAAAACCUGUGACACAAUGAAGGUUUGUUGUUUUGGGGGUAAUCCGUUAUUCAGCAAUAGAUAACGAAUACAGAAGGCUUGUAAUUGUAUAACCAACGUGAGUUUAUAAGCGGAUAUCUGACCUCAUUUGUUUUCUCCUGAAAAAGUUAUAGAAAAAUCACAAGACUGCAAGUCACUCUCUCUCUUUCUUUUGUGGGGAAUAAACAAGUAUAAUUACAAUUUCUAAA